ACACCUGACCCCAGAGUGUGUCAGAUCCGCCACAAAUAUAGGGAAUCCACUGUUCACACGGACAGAGUCUCCCCUGUAUUUGCACGGCGUCGCACAAGUACAAUUACACAACCAGAGUACAACCAGAAUACAACCACAACCAUAUGAACAUACGACAACAACCGCACAUACAGACGUCCAUACAUUCACCAUUCACAACACGAAUGUAUCCAUAAUUUUGAACAUAAAUCCAGAUCUAUCAUUUGAAACGUUUCCUACCCGGAAACAAGUUUGAAAUACUAAGUUUCAGAAAUCCAUUGAAAGCUCCUUUUAAAACUGUUUCCCACACGGAAACCUUAUCUUUUAAAACGCUACCACGAGGGGUAGAAAACCAUCGAAAACUGUAUCGAAUAUGAAAACCCUUUUCUUUUUAAAACAAGCGCUACCACGAGGGGUAGAAAACUAUU
rnacentral:lncRNA from 1 species